rnacentral:rRNA from 1 species
GAUGAACGCUGGCGGCGUGCUUAACACAUGCAAGUCGAACGGAACUACUCCAAUGAGAGUCUUCGGAAAGGAUUUGGUUUAGUUUAGUGGCGGACGGGUGAGUAACGCGUGGGUAACCUGCCCUAUACAGGGGGAUAACAGUUGGAAACGACUGUUAAUACCGCAUAAGCGCACAGGAGCGCAUGCUCCGGUGUGAAAAACUCCGGUGGUAUAGGAUGGACCCGCGUCUGAUUAGCUGGUUGGCGGGGUAACGGCCCACCAAGGCGACGAUCAGUAGCCUGCCUGAGAGGGUGAACCGCCACAUUGGCACUAAGACACGGCACAAACUCCUACGGGAGGCAGCAGUGGGGAAUAUUGCACAAUGGGGGAAACCCUGAUGCAGCGACGCCGCGUGAGCGAAGAAGUAUCUCGGUAUGUAAAGCUCUAUCAGCAGGGAAGAAAAUGACGGUACCUGACUAAGAAGCCCCGGCUAACUACGUG